rnacentral:lncRNA from 1 species
AGCGGCCCCGCCAGGCGCUCCCGGGGAGCGAGAGGGGCCGGCCGAGGGCCGCAGCGGGAGCUGCUGGGACUUGUAGUUCGCCCGCGCCCGCCGCGGCCGUCGCCAUCGCUGCCCCCGCCCCCCGGGCAGGCCUUUGUCCCCGGCCAGGCCACCCCGACCGCGCGGCCGCGCCUUUGUCUGCACCGUGCCCCGCCCGCACGCAGCCCUGGCCCCAUCCCUAGUCUCCUCCUGGGCCUGUCUCAGUCCCUCUGUGGCCCUGGCCCUAUCUCUUUCUCUCCAUCCCUGUCCCUCUCUCUGUCUCUCUCCGUCCCUAUCUCUCUAUCUCUGUUCAUUCUCUGUCUCUGUCCCUGUCUUCCCAUCUCUGUUCCUUUCUCUGUGUCUCUGUCCCCAUCUCUUUCUCUGUGUUCCAAUCUCUUUGCCUCUGUUGCUUUCUCUGCCUCUAUCUCUCUCUGUGUCUGUCUGUCUCUCUCUCUCUGUCUCUGCCUCCUGCCCAUGUCUCUGACUCUAUCUUUGUUCGUAAAACUCUACACAUGUUGUUCUUGGAGACUUGCAGCGCACAUAGGCACAGCCAAGCCUCUCAGCUCUGCAAUCUAAAAACAUGUCUAUUUUUGCUUAACCUGGCCUUCCUCCAAUUUUUCCUUUUUGCAUGGUGAAACCCGUCACCCUUUCUGGGUAACACCCGCCAAGGCACAGAUUUGGGAUAUUCCUCCUCUAGUGUUUUCAGCCUCCUACCCAGAUGGUGGGUCACCGCUGUCCCUGGAGGCCUCCAAGUGCUAGAUAGCCCACAGCAGAUCUGAGAGAUUGGAGAUAACUUCAAUUGGAUUAUGCCCCUGGUUCCUUAUCCUGACACUUCCUGGAUGAUCCCAUUACAAAUACAUGUGAUGACAUCUGUUGUUUCUUUGGCUCAGAAUCUAACAGUACUUUCUUUUCCUUUGUGGGGUCCCCUCCACUACUCCAGAUGCACAUGUGUCUAACACCCCUUCCCAGUCCCACGUGAGCUGGACUCUAAUCAAAGGGCCCCUAUCCCCUGGCCACAAUAAUUAGGUAUGGGUUGAGAAGGUGACAUUGGAGGUUCUCACUCUACUUCUGGGGUUAUGAGCCACAGGGGGCUCAUUCUGCCUGCAGCCACUUUCCCCAG